AGGAGGAGCUGUUGAAGCAGGCGCGGCGCUGGUGCACUGCCGGCGAAGCGGUCGUCGACGGUGCCGUCGACGUCGUCCUUGGCAGAAGUUCUCUAUGCAACAUCUAUUGCAGAAUUUCAUUCUCAGCUUCAUCGGCGUCAGCUUCAUCACCAAGAGGACGGACUCCGGAAGGCAGCCUCCUCCUAAGGCGCCAGGACCGGGAUCAGCUUUGGUGGCAUCCGAUGCUGCCAGGCCACGGGGUUAGAGCAGAGGAAGCUGACAUGGUGUUCGACAUUCAGAUGGUCAUUGUGAUCGACCAGAUGCGGCGCCUCAUGUCACCCCGAGCCUCCAGGGCUUGUUACCGGUGCUCAUAAAAUUGACAAUUUCCGCCGACCCUUGUUGCACUCAAUGAUGGUUGCUGCCAACGUGGUCCAUUAGCAUUUACUAUGUUGAAAAUUGCUUCACUCGGUUAUCUCUGCUUUUGACAGCCACAGAAACAUGUGACAACUAAUUUAUGCUUGAUUAUUUGCUCAUUUUUUUCCUUAUACAUUUAGCUCUUGUACUUGAUUAGUUCAUUUGCAAGGAGAGUGUUUGUGUUCAACAUAAUAUUCCAUUUCCAGGUUUGCACUAAAACUAACUGCAAUAGAAGAAAGCGCAUAAAGAAUGAACAAGGAAAAGCUACAGAUUGAUAUUUAUAGGUUAUAAAAUUUUCUACCUCCACCCCAUAUUCCCACUUAUGGAUUAGUGAAGAGUAUGAUUUCUCGCUUGGGAGGAUGCCAUACACAAGAUAUGCAUUUGUUUCCAAUGCAUUUUCAUUAUAGUUGCUUUUGUUUAAAUUAUAAAAGCAACCUUCUAGAGCAGAUCAUUUUUGAUGGAUAUAAGACGACAGGUCUGCGAUUGCAUUGUCAAAAGCAAACCUAGGGUGUUUGAUGUUUCCAUGUAGUUUUAAAACAACCUCCUAGCACUGUUCAUUUUAGAUUGACUAUGCCCCCUCCAUUGAUGUGCUUCUCCAUAUUUGAGGAAUCAUUUGGGUUUUAUCUACUUGUCCAUGAAGGAUGCUUCAUGAGGAAAAUUCCUCAUAUAAUAUUUUUUGAGAGGAAGAGUUUAGGGAGCACUAUAUUUCUGAAGAUAUGCCAGAAAUUGAAUAUGAACUCACAUAAAGAAUCGAGAUUACAAACGUAGAGGCUUCACUAGAAGAGAGGCCCUUUCUGUAGAUCACAAGAGACAUGUUUUUUGUAGGUACAAGAACCAUAUUUCUAUUUACGAUUAUCUCCUAGCAAUAAAAGUCGUAUGUGGCAAACAUGAAUAAGCUAGGGGAAAGGUCUACUGCUCUCUUCCUUUUUGUUUUGAGUGUUAACUUAUGUUUUCAAUUUCCAACUUUGUGCAACUAUUUUCUAUAUACGUAUAGGUGCUUGCUAUGUUAGAGAUAAAAAAGGAUCUUGGUUACAGCAAGGCACGUGGGGGUUACAGCAAGCCACGUGAGCACAUGGCAUGGAGAAAUGCCAGUAUUCUUGAAAUCCCUUGUUGCAUUUGUUCUUUGUCCUCCUGGGAUGUUACUAAGACAUCCUUUACUAAGACAUCUUUUCUUAGGUAUUGAGUAGGAUUUUAGAUGCAGAACUUGUUGAAAAAAAUCAAUGCUUAAGUUGAUGAUAAGGUGAUGUUUGGCCUUGGCCUUUUGUUCUAAUCAUUUGUGGUUAUUAUCACAUAUCAUUUCAUCAUUUCUUUGGCUCCAAUCUUUCCUUCCUGCUCGCGGCAGGUAGAAGACUCGGGCAAUGGGCAGUUAGAAGACUCGGGCAACGGUUAACGGACAAGCACUAUAUACACAAUGCAUCUCUGCUAAUAUAGCUCACUUUAUAAAGCCAUCAAUGUAUGCUAUUAUCAAGUGAUUUGAAUAUUUUAUUUUAAGCUAUCACGUAAUGAAAUAUAAGUAUCCAUUAAUUUGGUUCUAAAUCAGUCUAAUAUGCAUGGUU